UACAGAGGUCUCGAGCGUUGUUCGGAUUGCAUUAGGGCGUAAGGUGCGUAGGGUUGGCGCUGUGAAGUACGGGUCGUGAAAUCCUGAGGCUUAACCUCGGAACUGCAUUCGAGUACUGCGGCGCGUUGAGGAACUUGGAGAGGAGACUGGAAUUCAUGGUGUAGCAGUGAAAUGCGUAGAGAUCAUGAGGAAGACCAGUGCGAAGGCGGGUCUCUGGACAGUUCCUGGACACUGAGGCACGAAGGCCAGGGGAGCAAACGGG
rnacentral:rRNA from 1 species